AUUGAACGCUGGCGGCAUGCUUUACACAUGCAAGUCGAACGGUAACAGGCCGCAAGGUGCUGACGAGUGGCGAACGGGUGAGUAAUGCAUCGGAACGUGCCCAGUCGUGGGGGAUAACGCAGCGAAAGCUGUGCUAAUACCGCAUACGAUCUAUGGAUGAAAGCGGGGGACCGUAAGGCCUCGCGCGAUUGGAGCGGCCGAUGUCAGAUUAGGUAGUUGGUGGGGUAAAGGCCCACCAAGCCAACGAUCUGUAGCUGGUCUGAGAGGACGACCAGCCACACUGGGACUGAGACACGGCCCAGACUCCUACGGGAGGCAGCAGUGGGGAAUUUUGGACAAUGGGCGCAAGCCUGAUCCAGCCAUGCCGCGUGCGGGAAGAAGGCCUUCGGGUUGUAAACCGCUUUUGUCAGGGAAGAAACGCUCUGGGCUAAUACCCCGGGGUAAUGACGGUACCUGAAGAAUAAGCACCGGCUAACUACGUGCCAGCCGCCGCCGUAAGAC
rnacentral:rRNA from 1 species